CCGUAAUCAAGCAUUGCAUUGCAAUGACAACGAUAUAGCAUUAUGUUAAAGUUUUAUUUAUCUUUUGCGGGAAGAGCUCGUGAAGUAGCCUACCCUAGACUACGGAAGGCUAACUAUUUUAUUUAGCCAUACGUAUAAAGUUCAAAUCUCCUGGCGGUUUUGUUAGCUUACGUCAGGCCACCAGGAAAGUGAGUCAUUUGCAAACCGUAUGGAAAUGUUUUUGUAAAUUUGAUGGAGGUAGAUGGAAACACCAGGCAGGUGUUUCCCCCCCUGCUUUUCUCAAGGAAAGUCAAUGACCUCCCUUCCCCCGCCCCCGCCAAUCAUGCAUGCAAUGCGUCAUUCUCUUCAGGUUUACUACCUGCCCUGAGCGCAUAUCUCCCAAUCCAGUCGGGCGAUCAGUUCCAUCGAUAAUGAGCAAAAAGGCACAGAGGGUUUGCAUAGACAGGCAGAGUUGGACUAAUCAGCUGGAGAUCUCCUCGUCCUGCCUACCCCCUGGGGCUCCUGUGUCAAUAUUAGAUUAGCGCAAACGCACCCCUCGACAGGUGUGCUGUGUAGGCUACAGGAUCCUCUCUAUUUAAAACAUUAAAAAGUUAAAUAGAUGGAUAGCUAUUUAUGCCCGACUAUAUAAACUCGGCAGGGGUAGCACAAGUCUACUUGUCCUGAAAGUGCCGUUAAAGGGAUACAGGCAGCAUUUCCCCCAACUAGGCAGAACUUGCCUUCGUAUCACUUAUUCAACAUGUGGCUGGUAUAGCGUCUGGAUGGAAUGGGAUACACCUGGGCACCUGGGAUCUCCGCGUUUGGAAUAAAAUAACUUCGGAGUAUCACGUUUUACUGAAGACAUCGCACAUUACAUCGUUAGGUGCACGGAGAGCUCAGUCUUUCAGUUAUGUCUGGAACCGCCGUAACGCCUGAUAAUUCCUGUAUUUGCCUCACGUUGAGCCACACGUACAAUACCUAAAGCUGAUGUUUUGUUCGUUCGGCUCGCGUUAAGCAGGUACAGCCUUUCAACUGUUCAGUGCUGAUGAGGAAACGGCAGCGUUCAUGAUCCCUAUCGACGCUCAAAAUACGGAACCAGAACGUCAGAACACCGCUAAUAUGCUUUUGAGCUACAUUUUAAAACGUAAUUUACAAAUACACAGGUGUAUAACCAUUACAAUACAAUAUGUAUACAUUAUCAGAGAAAGAGUGGGGGG